rnacentral:sRNA from 1 species
AUUCUGCCCGUGCAGGGAAGGAUGAGAAGCUUCGACCAGGUUCGAUUCGAGCGCAGCGAGAAAGCGUUGCCGCAGGCAACGACCCGAAGUUCGAGCGCAGCGAGAAAGCGUUGCCGCAGGCAA